UACUGUAGACACUAUUCCCGAAGUUUGAAUUUAUCCUCAACCUCUUCCUCUGUUUUGAAAUCUUUCUUGAGUUUUUGUUUUUUUUUCAUCAACUGCAUGAUUUUGUUCAACUUUGUCUGUGAACUCAUAUGUUUACAAUAGUUUUCAUACUGUAUCUUUUUGAUAUUUUAAAGUAUGCAACACCUGCUAUCUUUUUCACUGUAACUAGUUGAAUUAAUAAGGCUAUAGAUUUUCUGAAUGCUGCAAUUUGUCUGAAAUCAGGUUCAAAACGAAACACGUGGAAUAUACUAUAUUUAUGGAAUAUAUCGUAUUAUAAAUAUUAUUUGACAAGUACAGGAACAGAAAUGAUUUGCUUACUUCUCUGGAGUUAAACUCCUGAAACAGUUCUCUCAGCUACCGCUGCUUUUGAUUACGAAAACUUGUUUUUUCGACAUUUUCAAUGAUAUUCUCAUCGCUGUCAGAAAUCACGAACUAACUUCCCUUAUCAGAAAUCUGAAAGCGAAUCACGCUACUGAUUGAAACUUCCAUCUAUCUGAACGUAUGUAAGUUUCAUUGCUUUAAAAUCACACGAAUUUACAUAAGUACAUAUUUUACGAGUAACCAACCUUUAUUUUCCUGCUGAAUUUACUUCGAAAAUAAAUAAUCAUUCUAUCAGAAUCAGACAUUGAAAUUUUACCAAAAUAUUAUUUAGCGAUGCUUACUAUUAGUUUAGUGGGCGACGAGCAGCAACGAGCGCCAAUAUGUGCAUCGAAGAUUGGAGAAUACAGUACAUAAUAUGUACUUCAAGUUUUGCAAGACUCUCCGAUCGCAACGCGCUCCGAUAGCGAGGAUACGAUUGGAAAUUGCUUUGCUCUGAUUAGCUGACCGAUUGGAUGCACAGUAAACUGGCGAGGAUGCUUGCAAAAGCUAAGGGAGGUAGCAAAAUCGUGCAAAACCUGAAUUUGAAUCUGUCUUUUUCUACGAAGUGGUUUCAUGCUCAGCAGUAAUAGAUGCUGCUUUCAGAUAUAUAGUAUAUGCUCUAAGUCUAUGGUUUAGGAGUGCAUUCCCCAUAUAGUGUUCUCACAUUCCCACGGACUUAGCCGUGGAUAAGCGUGGUCAUUCCCUUAAAUGUCACGUGACUACAUCCGUGACGUCAUGGAUGAGCAAUUCAGCAGAGUAAGGGUAGAGGGCAGUGAAGUUGACCAACGAGAAGUGAACAAUCACAACCGUGGAAACAUUCUUGGCAACAAUCCUGCCCUCUAUCCCUAUUCUUCCGAACUGCUCAUCCGUGACAUCACGGAUAGAACACGUGUCAAUUGUAGGAAUGCACUGCACAGCAACGGUAACGAUGUUCAAGCUCAAGCCUGUUCAGGACCAUGUGGUCCUGCAACAAGAAACAAUUGAGAAGCUUUCUGUGUUGAAGAAGGAAGUUGAAAAUAUAACAUUACAGAGAAGCAGAUUGAAAGAGAAGAUGCAACUGAAAUAGAUUCACGAUACGAUGGCUGAGAAGAGCGAUUUGGACGGCAUUGAUGCCGAAUUGUGAUCCCAACUGAUGCAACGAACUUCCGAAUCGUCAAUUGUGAAUGUAUCGAAACAGGCUGAAAGUCAGAAUGUGAUACGGACUAUCUCUGUAUUCGAAAAACAGCUUGAAAGCAACUGUUUUCACGAAAAUGAAACAAAUAAUCCGUGAGUCACACAGGAUACGAAUAAAUAUUAAGUUAUUCUCGUCGAAUAAUGCUACGAGCUUUUUCGUGAUUCGAUUGGAGUACAUUACUUAACAUAAACGUAUUGGAUAGCGUGAAGGUUGCGAUUAAAGGAAGACCGUUGA